rnacentral:rRNA from 1 species
GUGCCAGCAGCCGCGGUAAGACAGGAGGAGCGAGUGUUAUUCAGAAUUAUUGGGCGUAAAGGGCAUGUAGGUGGAUUCUGUGGGUUAAUUGUGCCAUUCCAAAUGUUAUCAUUGGGUUUGCGAUUAAUACUUAGUAUCUUGAGAUCAAUGGAGGAAAAUAGAAUUUCUAGUGGAGAGGUUAAAUUCUUAGAGAUUAGAAGGAAUAUCUAAAGCGAAGGCAAUUUUCUGGGUUGAAUCUGACACUGAGGUGCGAAAGCGUG